AUUGAACGCUGGCGGCAGGCCUAACACAUGCAAGUCGAGCGGAUGAAGGGAGCUUGCUCCUGGAUUCAGCGGCGGACGGGUGAGUAAUGCCUAGGAAUCUGCCUGGUAGUGGGGGAUAACGUCCGGAAACGGGCGCUAAUACCGCAUACGUCCUGAGGGAGAAAGUGGGGGAUCUUCGGACCUCCCGCUAUCAGAUGAGCCUAGGUCGGAUUAGCUAGUUGGUGGGGUAAAGGCCUACCAAGGCGACGAUCCGUAACUGGUCUGAGAGGAUGAUCAGUCACACUGGAACUGAGACACGGUCCAGACUCCUGCGGGAGGCAGCAGUGGGGAAUAUUGGACAAUGGGCGAAAGCCUGAUCCAGCCAUGCCGCGUGUGUGAAGAAGGUCUUCGGAUUGUAAAGCACUUUAAGUUGGGAGGAAGGGCAGUAAGUUAAUACCUUGCUGUUUUGACGUUACCAACAGAAUAAGCACCGGCUAACUUCGUG
rnacentral:rRNA from 1 species